rfam:Branchiostoma floridae genomic scaffold BRAFLscaffold_18, whole genome shotgun sequence.
GCUAAGAGUUUUUCUUCCUUGGCACAGCUCUGUGACAGUGGAACAUAGCUGGCUGGCGAAGAAAUGCCCUUCCA